AGUUAUCAAAACAGUUAUAAACAAAGUUAUAAAAACACCCAAAAGGUUGAUUGAGGACGAUCGUGACCACAAUGGCGCAUUUUCAUCCGAAGCAGAGUAAGUAAUAAGUUGUGUACAAGCAAUAUGUCUUAGUAAACCUACAGUGGAUGUUUAUAUGGCUAAAAGUGAAAUUUUAUGUCUUUAUUACUUUUAGCAUUCCUUCUGGUGAUGGGCCACCCACACAGUCAGUACCAGAC